rnacentral:rRNA from 1 species
GUGUCAGCAGCCGCGGUAAUACGGGGGGGGCGAGCGUUGCCCGGAAUCACUGGGCUUAAAGGGGGCGUAGGCGGCCGGGUGUGUCGGGUGUGUAAUCCACCGGCUCAACCGGUGGGCUGCAUCCGAAACUGCCCGGCUAGAGGGCGUCAGAGGGGACCGGAACGCCCGGUGUAGCGGUGAAAUGCGUGGAUAUCGGGCGGAACGCCGGUGGGGAAGCCGGGUCCCUGGGGCGCACCUGACGCUGAGGCCCGAAAGCCAGGGGAGCGAAGGGGAUUAGAUACCCCCGGUAGUCCCAGCCGUAAACGAUGCGGGCUAGCCGUAGGUUUCCUUCGGGAAAUCCGUGGCUCAGGGAAACCGGUAAGCCCGCCGCCUGGGGAGUACGCUCGCAAGGGUGAAACUCAAAGGAAUUGGCGGGG